UCCGUAGGUUAACCUGCGGAGGGAUCAUUACAAGUGACCCCGGUCUAACCACCGGGAUGUUCAUAACCCUUUGUUGUCCGACUCUGUUGCCUCCGGGGCGACCCUGCCUUCGGGCGGGGGCUCCGGGUGGACACUUCAAACUCUUGCGUAACUUUGCAGUCUGAGUAAACUUAAUUAAUAAAUUAAAACUUUUAACAACGGAUCUCUUGGUUCUGGCAUCGAUGAAGAACGCAGCGAAAUGCGAUAAGUAAUGUGAAUUGCAGAAUUCAGUGAAUCAUCGAAUCUUUGAACGCACAUUGCGCCCCCUGGUAUUCCGGGGGGCAUGCCUGUUCGAGCGUCAUUUCACCACUCAAGCCUCGCUUGGUAUUGGGCAACGCGGUCCGCCGCGUGCCUCAAAUCGACCGGCUGGGUCUUCUGUCCCCUAAGCGUUGUGGAAACUAUUCGCUAAAGGGUGCUCGGGAGGCUACGCCGUAAAACAAACCCAUUUCUAAGGUUGACCUCGGAUCAGGUAGGGAUACCCGCUGAACUUAAGCAUAUCAAAAGCGGAGGA
rnacentral:rRNA from 1 species